CCUACGGGAGCCUGCAGUGGGGAAUAUUGGACAAUGGGCGAAAGCCUGAUCCAGCCAUGCCGCGUGUGUGAAGAAGGCCUUCGGGUUGUAAAGCACUUUCAGUGGGGAAGAAAGCCUUGGGGCUAAUACCCUCGAGGAAGGACAUCACCCACAGAAGAAGCACCGGCUAACUCCGUGCCAGCAGCCGCGGUAAUACGGAGGGUGCGAGCGUUAAUCGGAAUUACUGGGCGUAAAGCGCGCGUAGGCGGUCUGAUAAGCCGGUUGUGAAAGCCCCGGGCUCAACCUGGGAACGGCAUCCGGAACUGUCAGGCUAGAGUGCAGGAGAGGAAGGUAGAAUUCCCGGUGUAGCGGUGAAAUGCGUAGAGAUCGGGAGGAAUACCAGUGGCGAAGGCGGCCUUCUGGACUGACACUGACGCUGAGGUGCGAAAGCGUGGGUAGCAAACAGGAUUAGAUACCCGAGUAGUC
rnacentral:rRNA from 1 species